UACAGAGGGUGCUAGCGUUGUUCGGAAUCAUUGGGCGUAAAGGGCGUGUAGGCGGUUUGUUAAGUCAUGUGUGAAAUCCCUCGGCUCAACCGGGGAACGACGCAUGAAACUGGCAAGCUAGAGUACCAAAGAGGGGGGUGGAAUUCCCGGUGUAGCGGUGAAAUGCGUAGAUAUCAGGAGGAAUACCGGUGGUGUAGACGGCUCUCUGGACCGCAACUGACGCUGAGACACGAAAGCGUGGGUAGCAAACAGG
rnacentral:rRNA from 1 species